rnacentral:rRNA from 1 species
AUGCCGUGCAUACCGUGGUCAGUCGCCAUCCGGUUCCAUCCCAUGUUACCGCUGGGGAUGUCGCGGUUUAUUGCCGCCGGGGCCGGCCGGUCGGCGGUUGCCCUUCGCCGGCCGUACACGAGCCGUCCGGUGUCCGCGUCGCCAUUGACGCCGCUGCCUCUCCAGCGAUGGCAUGUCCGUUUCUUCACUUACUCUGCGCGGUACGAGUGUCAUUGGGAGCGCGCUGGCCAUCUAACCGACCUCACCCGAUCACUUCGCCUCGACGAUAGGUCGAACCGAAGCGCAUUUCUGGUGCGUGCGAGGUUAACAAAAAUGAAGUAUGAUACAGGUAGGUAUAACCAGCAGCACACUACGCCCUACCACCGUCGCUCUCGCGCGCGGCCGCCGGGUCCAGGUCAUGUGCCGGCAUACAGAUCAGCCGUCGCCCUCGCCGCUGCAUGCCCCUACUUGGCGCCUUCUCCUGCAUUUCCAUGCAAUCAAUCAGCACGUCGUUCGUCCCACCUCCCACAGUCCCACGUCCAACACACACGCGAUGAUCGAAAAACGGCAAACUACAAAUACCAUUAUACACCUAUCCUUCACAUGAUUACCAUGUACUACGUACAGUGCAGAUAUCCAAAUCGACGUCUUCAAUUAGUUAAGGAAGGAGGGAAUAUCCAGCUCCGCAGCGCGGGAUCAUGCGCGUCAUCCUCGCUAGUCCCACCAGCCACGAUGCCACGACCGAACGUUUGGCUUAGAAAACUGCAUGCAUCCACGCGCACCACAGCUGUGUUGCCAAGGCAUGCGUCGCCGGGAGUAGACAUCAAUGGUUUUCCCCAUGCCGGCCGAGAUCUUCGGUCUCUCGGUACCGUACUGCGCAACCCGAAGAUUAUUCGAGCUCUGAUGAGAUGUAUAUUGUUCAGCGUCAGAGUUCCAGAUGCGAUCGCGGGCUGGCUGCUUGCACCUUCGAAGAAACUGGGAUGGAAAUAA